AGAUUGAACGCUGGCGGCAGGCCUAACACAUGCAAGUCGAGCGGUAGAGAGGUGCUUGCACCUCUUGAGAGCGGCGGACGGGUGAGUAAUGCCUAGGAAUCUGCCUAGUGGUGGGGGAUAACGUUCGGAAACGGACGCUAAUACCGCAUACGUCCUACGGGAGAAAGCGGGGGACCUUCGGGCCUCGCGCCAUUAGAUGAGCCUAGGUCGGAUUAGCUAGUUGGUGAGGUAAUGGCUCACCAAGGCGACGAUCCGUAACUGGUCUGAGAGGAUGAUCAGUCACACGUGGAACUGAGACACGGUCCAGACUCCGUACGGGAGCAGCAGUGGGGGAAUAG
rnacentral:rRNA from 1 species